AGAAUAGGACGUGUGGUUCUAUUUUGUUGGUUUCUAGGACCGCCGUAAUGAUUAAUAGGGAUAGUCGGGGGCAUCAGUAUUCAAUUGUCAGAGGUGAAAUUCUUGGAUUUAUUGAAGACUAACUACUGCGAAAGCAUUUGCCAAGGAUGUUUUCAUUAAUCAGUGAACGAAAGUUAGGGGAUCGAAGACGAUCAGAUACCGUCGUAGUCUUAACCAUAAACUAUGCCGACUAGGGAUCGGGCGAUGUUAUUUUUUUGACUCGCUCGGCACCUUACGAGAAAUCAAAGUCUUUGGGUUCUGGKGGGAGUAUGGUCGCAAGGCUGAAACUUAAAGAAAUUGACGGGAGGGCACCACCAGGAGUGGAGCCUGCGGCUUAAUUUGACUCAACACGGGGAAACUCACCAGGUCCAGACACAAUAAGGAUUGACAGAUUGAGAGCUCUUUCUUGAUUUUGUGGGUGGUGGUGCAUGGCCGUUCUUAGUUGGUGGAGUGAUUUGUCUGCUUAAUUGCGAUAACGAACGAGACCUUAACCUGCUAAAUAGCAGGCUAGCUUUGGCUGGUCGCCGGCUUCUUAGAGGGACUAUCGGCUCAAGCCGAUGGAAGUUUGAGGCAAUAACAGGUCUGUGAUGCCCUUAGAUGUUCUGGGCCGCACGCGCGCUACACUGACAGAGCCAACGAGUUUCUUCCUUGUCCGAAAGGUCUGGGUAAUCUUGUUAAACUCUGUCGUGC
rnacentral:rRNA from 1 species